CCUCUCGCCCGUCUCCGCUUCUCCACUUGCCCACGGAUCGCCGCUGGGUAGAGAUGGUUCGGACGCUUGGAGUAAAGAGGAGAAAGCUCAAGAACAGGAGACUAGAAGAACCGUCUCUGGUUGAGGUGGAGAAGAACGAGGCCUUCGACUGGGGAUAACAGGAAGCAGAUGAAUAGGAAAUCGAGUGUAUAGUCGAGGUAGAUGAGAACGACGAAAAUAGGAGAGGGAAUGAGGCCUUGACCUGAUUCUCUGGCUCCCGAUCGUUGCUCCGAUUGACAGAAGUAAGUGGUCUGGAGUCGUAUUUGUCCUCGAAAAGGCCUGUCUUGAGGUGAGAAAGUGGGAAAGAAAAGCUAGGGCUUCUGGCUUUGUUCUCUGGAUAGUGUUUGAUACUCCAAGUUCUGAAUUUGCAAAUCCUGAACUCAGACGACUAUGCUAAUUAUCUGAAGAAGCAGGAUUGCGACCCUGCAGAUUAUAUACCUGACAUCAUUCACCUGGUUGGUGCAAUGGUUCACAGAGAGAUCAUACGUUGAUGAUUUGUACCAAGCAAGUCCCAUGGCAUUCAACAUGCAACAAUAAUUUUUGUUAAGGCGGUCUACAAUACAUCCAAUGUUGUCCGACUCUUCUCCGGAAUCCUAUAUUGACGGGAGUUUCGUGCAUCGGGUUGUCUUUUUUUUUAUACUACUAAGUUUUUUUCUAUGAUAGAAGAUCUUCACAUGCUAUUUUAGGUGUCAAAUGGGUUGAGCAACCCACAACCCAACCCCACCCUCAAUGGGUUGAGUUGUGCCCAACAUUAUAAGCAACCAAGUUUGUGCUAGGUGGGUGUUCAAUUUGUCUAUUUGUUGUGUUCUACUUGGCUCUCAGGCUAAGUUUAGUCUCUGCACUCAUGUGUUGAGCACAAUCCAAGCUUAUACCUGACAUUAUUUUCCCAUGGUAUUUCCUUAGUAUCCUGUAAAAUAUUUUAAAAAUUAGAUAAAAAGAGCAUUAUGAUGAUUUCUUAUGAUAAUUUUAUCAUUAAAGAUUCUAGAAAAUACAAAAAACAUAUCCUACGCUUCCUCCACCAUCCUCUAUCAAAUUCCUUCUCUAAUUCUCCACCCUCAAUCCCUCAUCUCUCAGUCUCAUAUCUUAUUUUCCCAUGGCAUGCCCUUAGUACCAUGUAAAAUAUAUUUUAAAAAAUAGAUAGAAAGAGCAUUAUGAAGAUUUUUAAUAAUAAUUUUUAUCAUUAAAAUGAUUAACCAGAAAUACAAAAAAUAUUCCCCUUCCUCCACUCUCCUCUGUCAAAAUCCUCUAUCUCUAAUUCUUCAACCUCAAUCCCUCGUUUCUCAAUCUCAUCUCUUAUAUUCACAAGUCAGCUUUUUUAGAGAUUAUCCAUUGGUUCACAAUUUUAGAGAUAACAGGCGUUAAGGCAGUAAUAGCGUUAUUCAAGUUCUAUGGGUGUUAAGACAACUGGAAUGCAUUAAUUACAUGUUCGUGUUCAUAUGUAUUUCUUGAAAAAGAAACAUUAUAAUUCCUGAAAAAUAAUAAAACAUUAUACAUAUAUUGUGAUUUUUUUUUAAAAAAAAAUCCUCUGACCAUGCUUGGCCCCAGCAUAUGACACGUUAUCAAUUCUUGAUCGUUGAUAUUUCAUUAUUGGCAUAUUCAAUGCUUUUUACUGAAAUUUGAAGAAAGAACAUAGCAUGCUUUUUACGAAAGGUGGAAGAUAGAUUGUGGCAUGCUUUUUAUUGAAGAGUGAACAUAGAACAAGUGUAGCAUGAGUCUGACAUAAGUUUUAGCUGGCCACAAUAUAAAAAAUCUAAAAAUGAUAACAAAAUGGCUGGCAUUAAUGGAAAAAUAUAAACUGACAUCGUUUUUUGAUUUUGUAUGUCAUAUUUGAAUACUAAUCGAGUUCAUAACACUGAUGAAUCACAUCAUAAUAUAUGGUCAUUAACUAUGUUGCUCAAACGUCAGUUUAUAGAGGAAAAUAUCAGUAAUCAAUGGAUCUCUAAUUACUAAACUGAUACUGCUAGUUAAAGGUAUCAUUUUGAUUUUGUAGGAUAAGAAUACCCUUUGUGUGCAACAUGCUCUUUGAAUAGGAUUUGCAGUGCCUUUGAACAGAAAUGGAGGAUCACUCGAACCUAAUUUGAUUAUUUUCACCUCUCUUUCCUGGAUUAGUGAGUCCUACUAUAAACUGCAAUUAUUAAACUAUCCAUUACUAAAUAAAUCGAGCAUUAUCUAUAUGCUAAGAGCUCAUUUUUGGAGUUUUUGAAACCUUGUUCUGUCUAGCGUAUGUUGUAAUCCUAGGGUUUAAUUGAAACCUGGCAGAUGGCUUAUUAGGAUGGGUGAUCAAUGCAUUGCAACGAGACCUUAUGGUUGUGUUUUCCUCUUGGGAAAAAGAUGGGCAGAGAAAGAGCAGUUAACAAAGAACCAUGGACAUCAAGCAUCAAGCAUUCGAGUGGGUAGACAAUGGGCAUGACAUGUAUGACUUCCAAGCUUAAACUAUAUAGUAUUUGCCACUUUCACUUUGUAGGGACAGCUAGUUGUGUUUGGCGCAAGCAUAUGUAUUCCAAGGCCUAUAGCAAGGGGGGAUUAUAUUCUGCAAAGGUGGUUUGGUGCAGUAAUGGUGGCAGGCAUAGAUCUUUGGACACCAGCUGUUUUGGAAGAAGAGCGCAUGCUUCCAUGUUCUAUUGUGGGAAAAAAUGGGUACAAGAUCCAAAGGAGUAGCUUGAUUGAGACAAAUAAGCAGGGAUUGGUCUUAUUAUGGACGGACAUGGGAAGAGCGA